rnacentral:tRNA from 1 species
UGGUGAUUAGUUUAACAACCAAAACAAAUGGUUUCAACUCAUUAGAUUACAUUUUAAUUCGUAAUUACCAA